CAAUCAAACCGGGAGAUAGCUGGUUCUCCCCGAAAGCUAUUUAGGUAGCGCCUCGUGAAUUCAUCUCCGGGGGUAGAGCACUGUUUCGGCUAGGGGGCCAUCCCGGCUUACCAACCCGAUGCAAACUGCGAAUACCGGAGAAUGUUAUCACGGGAGACACACGGCGGGUGCUAACGUCCGUCGUGAAGAGGGAAACAACCCAGACCGCCAGCUAAGGUCCCAAAGUCAUGGUUAAGUGGGAAACGAUGUGGGAAGGCCCAGACAGCCAGGAUGUUGGCUUAGAAGCAGCCAUCAUUUAAAGAAAGCGUAAUAGCUCACUGGUCGAGUCGGCCUGCGCGGAAGAUGUAACGGGGCUAAACCAUGCACCGAAGCUGCGGCAGCGAACGUAUCACCCAAGACAACUUUACGGAGUUGACGAUUGACGGAGCGAAGCGACGUCAAAGCGUUCAUUAAAGUCGAGUUGGCUUAGGGAUACGUUCGUUGGGUAGGGGAGCGUUCUGUAAGCCUGUGAAGGUGUGUCGUGAGGCAUGCUGGAGGUAUCAGAAGUGCGAAUGCUGACAUAAGUAACGAUAAAGCGGGUGAAAAGCCCGCUCGCCGGAAGACCAAGGGU
rnacentral:rRNA from 1 species